UACGGAGGGUGCGAGCGUUGUUCGGAAUUACUGGGCGUAAAGCGCGCGUAGGCGGCUUUGUAAGUCAGAGGUGAAAGCCUGGAGCUCAACUCCAGAACUGCCUUUGAAACUACAUCGCUAGAAUCAUGGAGAGGUUAGUGGAAUUCCGAGUGUAGAGGUGAAAUUCGUAGAUAUUCGGAAGAACACCAGUGGCGAAGGCGACUAACUGGACAUGUAUUGACGCUGAGGUGCGAAAGCGUGGGGAGCAAACAGG
rnacentral:rRNA from 1 species